GAUGAACGCUGGCGGCGUGCUUAACACAUGCAAGUCGAACGGAAAGGCCCAAGCUUGCUUGGGUACUCGAGUGGCGAACGGGUGAGUAACACGUGGGUGAUCUGCCCUGCACUUCGGGAUAAGCCUGGGAAACUGGGUCUAAUAUUGGAUAGGACAACUUCAUGGAUGUUGUGGUGGAAAGUUUUUCCGGUGUGGGAUGAGCUCGCGGCCUAUCAGCUUGUUGGUGGGGUAAUGGCCUACCAAGGCGUCGACGGGUAGCCGGCCUGAGAGGGUGUACGGCCACAUUGGGACUGAGAUGCGGCCCAGACUCCGACGGGAGGCAGAUGUGGGGAAUAUUGCACAAUGGGCGCAAGCCUGAUGCAGCGACUCCGCGUGGGGGAUGACGGCCUUCGGGUUGUAAACUCCUUUCGCUAGGGACGAAGCGUUUUGUGACGGUACCUAGAGAAGAAGCACCGGCUAACUACGUG
rnacentral:rRNA from 1 species